rnacentral:rRNA from 1 species
GUGGCGGACGGGUGAGUAAUGCAUCGGAAUCUGCCUUGAGGUGGGGGACAACCCAGGGAAACUUGGGCUAAUACCGCAUGAUCUCGGGAGAGCAAAGUGGGGGACCCUUCGGGGCCUCAUGCCUUGGGAGGAGCCGAUGUCCGAUUAGCUAGUUGGUGGGGUAAAGGCCUACCAAGGCGACGAUCGGUAGCUGGUCUGAGAGGAUGAUCAGCCACACUGGGACUGAGACACGGCCCAGACUCCUACGGGAGGCAGCAGUGGGGAAUAUUGGACAAUGGGGGCAACCCUGAUCCAGCAAUGCCGCGUGUGUGAAGAAGGCCUGCGGGUUGUAAAGCACUUUUGUCCGGGAAGAAAGGCCUUGACCUAAUACGUUGGGGAGAUGACGGUACCGGGAGAAUAAGCACCGGCUAACUUCGUGCCAGCAGCCGCGGUAAUACGAAGGGUGCAAGCGUUAAUCGGAAUUACUGGGCGUAAAGGGUGCGUAGACGGCCUAUUAAGUCGACUGUGAAAGUCCUGGGCUCAACCUGGGGACUGCAGUUGAUACUGAUGGGCUUUGAGUUUGGGAGAGGGUGGUGGAAUUCCCGGUGUAGCGGUGAAAUGCGUANAGAUCGGGANGAACAUCCGUGNCGAANGCGGCCACCUGNCCUGAAACUGACGUUGANGCACGAAAGCGUGGNGANCAAACANGGAUUAGAUACCCUGGUANUCCACGCCCUAAACNAUGAUCACUGGACGUUGGGAGGAAUUGACCUCUUANUGNCGAA